AAUACCUCACAUUUUGUGUGUUGAACUCAAGCCAACAAACUAGAGCCAAGUCUAACUACUUCUAGUUUUUUAGAAAUUAAUUCUACUUCUGCAAGUGUUGUCAGAUGUGUGAGAAAUGCAGGCUAUCUGAAGGGACUCUGCUAAUUGAAAGUUGUCCAGAGCCAGCAACAGAAAGUCCAGGAUGGGGCCUUCUUUGAGAGAGAGACCUCAAGAGCGGGAUGAAAUCCUUUCCAGUGUGCUUAUCCAAGUGGUCUGCUACACCACUUGCUUACACAGUAUGCCUUGUGGAUCACUGAAACGGAG